rnacentral:lncRNA from 1 species
GAACGGACAGAGACGGCGAAGUUUGACGGUCUGGAAAGCAGAGAUCAGCGGGGCUGACUGCUUGGGAGCACCAAGUAUCCGGACAGCGCCUCUCGGGGGUUCCAAGGAGAGAACCGCGAUCUGUUUCAGCACCGGGGCUCAGGACAGUUCCCAGAAGGCUCCGUUUCGGCGCCAGAACCCUGGACAGCUCCCCCAGACUUCAGUGAGGAACCUUGUGCCAAGCAUUGUACAUACAGCAUAUCAUGCCAUCUUCAACCCUAGGACAUGGGUGUUACUGUGCCCAGGUGACAUUUGGGGAACCCAAGGCCCCGAAAAAGGCAGAAAAAUAACCCACGCAGGGACUCUCAGCCCACAAGUGAAGCUGUAAGUCAACCCCAUCCGUCCAACUCUAAAUCCCAUGUCUCUGACGUGCCUGGGUGGGAGUUGGGCCCUUGGAGAUCAGACCCUGCCUCUCUCCAGGAGAACCGGGAAUGGAAAACAGGGAGGCAGCACAGAGGCAGGAAGCCCAGGUGUCACAGCUUGGCUCAGCCACGGACCAUGUAUGGGGUUGGUCACAUCACUCGGACGCCCCCACAAGCCUGGAGAUAGAAAAUACCUGACUCUAAACCCAAGACCUCUAACCACCUCAUGGCGCUUUCCCGGGGAACUCAAUGAGGGAAUGGCGUUUAAAGCCCUCCAUAGACCAGGGUUCUCAGGGUACUUUUCUAUUAAAAAAAAAAUUUUUUUUUGGCUGGUUGUGGUGGCUCAUGCCUGUAAUCCCAGCACUUUGGGAGGCUGA